AGGACGAACGCUGGCGGCGUGCUUAACACAUGCAAGUCGAGCGGAAAGGCCCUUCGGGGUACUCGAGCGGCGAACGGGUGAGUAACACGUGAGUAACCUGCCCCUAGCUCUGGGAUAGCUCCGGGAAACCGGGAUUAAUACCAGAUACGACCACUUUAGACAUCUGUCGUGGUGGAAAGGAUUCCGGCUAGGGAUGGGCUCGCGGCCUAUCAGCUUGUUGGUGGGGUAACGGCCUACCAAGGCGACGACGGGUAGCCGGCCUGAGAGGGCGACCGGCCACACUGGGACUGAGACACGGCCCAGACUCCUACGGGAGGCAGCAGUGGGGAAUAUUGCGCAAUGGGCGAAAGCCUGACGCAGCGACGCCGCGUGGGGGAUGAAGGCCUUCGGGUUGUAAACCCCUUUCAGCGAGGGACGAAGCGAAGUGACGGUACCUGCAGAAGAAGCGCCGGCUAACUACGUGCCAGCAGCCGC
rnacentral:rRNA from 1 species